rnacentral:tRNA from 1 species
GGGGGCGUAGCUCAAUGGUAGAGCAACGGACUUUUAAUCCGUAGGUUCUGGGUUCGAGUCCCAGCGCCCUCA